rnacentral:lncRNA from 1 species
GACAGCCCGAUAGGGGUCGACCCUAAUCUUCUCUUUUGGCCGUCUCCUCGAACUUUUCAUCUUCUCUAUUCGUUUUAUUGCGAGCGACGUCUGAUCUCCAUCUCCAUCCCUGAAACGGUUGCUGUUACGAAUUCUCCAUGUUAAAUCCCUUAUUGAUCCUAUCAACCACGAUAUAGCUUUGAAUGCGCUAUUUUCUUUAGCUAGGCGGUGUAUCGGCAAGUAUAAAAAGGUAAUCAU